AACUUAAUUAGUAACAUUAGAAUAUUAAAAGUUAUGUUCGUUUAAAUUUAAAAAAUUUGGCGGUGUUUUAGUCUAGUUAGAGGAACCUGUUUUAUAAACGAUACAACACGCAUUAUUUUACUUAUUUUAGUAGAUCAGUUUGUAUACCGUCAUUAUAAGAUAAUUUAAGAGAGAAUAUUAUUGAAAUCAUAUUAUUGAGUAUAUUAGAUCAAGGUGCAGCUUAUGAGUAAGUAAACAUGGGUUACAAUAAAAUUUAUUUAAUAUGAAUUAAAUGUUUAAAUAUGUUUAUGAAGGAGGAUUUAAUUGUAAGAGGAGAGUAGAGAGCUUUUCUGAUAAAAGCUCUAAAUUAUGUACAUAUCGCCCGU
rnacentral:rRNA from 1 species